rnacentral:rRNA from 1 species
GGUGAGUAACACGUGAGCAACCUGCCCUGGACUCUGGGAUAAGCGCUGGAAACGGCGUCUAAUACUGGAUAUGAGCCUCUUCCGCAUGGUGGGGGUUGGAAAGAUUUUUUGGUCUGGGAUGGGCUCGCGGCCUAUCAGCUUGUUGGUGAGGUAAUGGCUCACCAAGGCGUCGACGGGUAGCCGGCCUGAGAGGGUGACCGGCCACACUGGGACUGAGACACGGCCCAGACUCCUACGGGAGGCAGCAGUGGGGAAUAUUGCACAAUGGGCGAAAGCCUGAUGCAGCAACGCCGCGUGAGGGAUGACGGCCUUCGGGUUGUAAACCUCUUUUAGCAGGGAAGAAGCGAAAGUGACGGUACCUGCAGAAAAAGCGCCGGCUAACUACGUGCCAGCAGCCGCGGUAAUACGUAGGGCGCAAGCGUUAUCCGGAAUUAUUGGGCGUAAAGAGCUCGUAGGCGGUUUGUCGCGUCUGCUGUGAAAUCCCGAGGCUCAACCUCGGGCCUGCAGUGGGUACGGGCAGACUAGAGUGCGGUAGGGGAGAUUGGAAUUCCUGGUGUAGCGGUGGAAUGCGCAGAUAUCAGGAGGAACACCGAUGGCGAAGGCAGAUCUCUGGGCCGUAA